UGGAAGUCUCCUGAGAAGUCAUCUCUCCCGCUCGAAACAUUUUGGACACGCGGAGCAGUCAGAGGGCAGCCAGGUGAGGCCGGCUGCAGCGCGCGCGAUGUUGUGGAGCUGUCAAUUAGUAUGUGGGAUCAGCCUCCCUGGCCCUCGGAGCCUCCGCCUGUAAUGCACCUAAAUGACUACCUUGAAUGCUACAAUGGCGCCAGCGCCAAUUAGCUGUUAACACUGGAGACAGAUCUAUUCAGAAGCCAGGCAAUGAGGCCUCCUGUAACGUGAAAGAUUGAUGCCCACUUUGCUAAUGACAAGAGAAGGAGGCAAUCUGUUGCUUGACUCAGCCCUGGGCUAUGUUACAGGAUAGUCAGCUGAUUACUGUGAGCCUGUAGAAGAGGAAGGAGUGGGGAUGAGGCUACUGAGAAAUGUGAAGAUGGAGUAUAAGCCACUACAGGGGUUGAAUAGAGAACAUAAACACACAUACAAAUACACAACAUAAGUUUGUCGGUAGGGCUUUGUGUUUAUUGAGAAUGCCAGAUGACAGAUCUUUGGCAACCGCCUUCUGCUGGUUUAACUUUACCUUAAUGAUAUUAGGUUGAUUAAGAAGAUCAGUGCAUGCAA